rnacentral:rRNA from 1 species
AUUAAAUUAUUGUUAAAUCAAACUCUGAGUAGUAACAGGUGAUCUCCAAACUCAAAGAAUUUGGCGGCACUUUUCCCUUUUAGAGGAGCCUGCCUAAUAAAUGAUGGUCCACGUUUUGAUUUACCAGUUUUAGAGGUUUGUAUACCGCCGUUUAGAGUAAAUUAUAAAGUUUAUUCUUAAUAAUAUUAAUUAGAAUUUCAGGUCAAGGUGCAGCGUAUAAAUUGGAUGGGGUGGGCUACAUUAAAUUUAUUUAAACGAAUUAUAAUUUUAAAAAUUACAUGAAGGUGGAUUUACUUGUAAACUUAAUAUUAAAUAAGUUGAAAUGGU